UGCUUUCAAUAAUAUACGUAUAUUUGGUAUUUUGGGCACCGACACAACCACCAUGAACAUGUGUUACAAGUCAGACAACAAACACGUCGAUGCUUCUUGCUGUCAACACAUGAACGCAUGACAAAUUAUUCAUACUAUAAGCACGGUAGUGGUACUGGUAAGUAAACAGCUGCGCAACACAGGUGCACACAGGUGUGUUGCUCUAGGUUCAUUUGCGUGCAAGCUCACGUUCAGGCGGGGGCACCCACGCAUUCGAUGGGGCCAAAGACUAAGCCGAUGAUGGUGGGAGCAUAGCACACGCAAGUGCGUGGUGCGAUGACGAUACCAGGGCCACCGCUGCUCGGAGAGUAAAUGCUAGGACUCAGAACGAUGCCUCUUUCAGCAUACUCUGGAAUGGCUUUUAGCAGCUCGAGUAAGUUUUUGAAACCGGGAGGACAGAAAGCUUGGGAUGGCGCCGGUGAAGGUGUCGGUACAGGCGUCGGAGCAGGUGUCGGUGCAGACCGCGGAACCGGUGCUGGUGGCCAUGCUUGGGCUUGCUUGGAAGCCGCGAGCAUGAGAGUCACGGCGACGAACAGGGAUGCCGGGGAACCUAUGGAUGACUUGGAUGCCAUUGCUGGCUGCGGAUGUUAUCUCAACCGUGUCUGUGCCUUCAAGUGUUACCCAUCUUACCAUGUGUUUAUAUAUAGG
rnacentral:lncRNA from 1 species